AACUGAGAGGAUCUUGCCUGCAAGCAUUCUCAGUAGAUUGAAGCCAGAAAUGUUCUAAGGCAAGAAGGAGCUGUUGUCUGCCAGAAGCCUGCAGUUUGAUCAGAGUGGUUCACUUAUUUAGCAGUUCACAGUGCACACUCUACAUCAGUGGAUAACAGAAUUGACUGAUUAUUUUAAAAUGGAUUGAAGGUGCACCAUGAGAAAGUAGAAUAGGGAAGGUUUUAACUGGGAGCAGGUUUUGAACAGGCAAAGAGCAGCGGUUGUGCAGAGGAUGGUAUGCAGAAGACAAAUAUCAAAUCUGCCAUCACCAUCAGUUUGAGUCUUGGGUAUUUUAACUGCCGGAUCUUGUUUCUUUCUCACAGUUCCUGUUCUCUGCUUUCCCAUGUAUGUUACUAAACUCGGCAGCCGUGACAGCACACCAAUCAGUAGGCUGUUAAAAUGCCAUCAGGGUACUGAUGGCAUUACAGAAUCCUAAUUUGUACGUCUAAGAUUGGCUUCAGUUUCAAACAAAAGGAUGCAUUGACUAUCUGCAAAAACAGGAGGAAGAACAUGACAGAUUGUGGAAUGGGAUAAAGUGAAGAAUAACCGUGAGAGCCAAUUAAUGUAGGAUCUGAGAAAUAAUGAUAGUGUGCAUAGAAUGGAGGAAAACCAGAUCUCCCUACUCGACUCAAGGACCUCAUGGAGAAGAUAAUGGUCUCAUAGAAUCCCUACAGUAUGGAAGCAGGCAGUUCACCCCAUUGAGUCCAUGUCAACCCUCUGAAGAGCACACCUCCAUCACUGUAACUCUGCAUUUCCCUGUCUGUUGGCUCCUGCCACAGGGUGUAAAGAGAAGAUUUGGGCAGAUUUGCUACAAAGAGCCAGUAGAAAGGAUAUUCCGUGCAUUGGUGUAGUUGUAAGUGAUUAUUCACUGCAUAAGAAAUCACAAUCCAAAUCUAUGCUCCAUUUUAUGCGACCACUGUAUAGGGAUAACAGGGGCUUUUGACUUUGUUGCAUUUUGACACAAUGUGUUGUCAUUCACAGUGCUCUAGGAUUGAUGGAGGCAAUUUCAGUUUGAGAUGAAUCAAAAAGUGAAGGUCAAAUUUGCUUCCUCACUUUGUGCAUAUAGAAUACCUGGCACCAUUUUAAAGUAGGCCUUAUCUUAGGCACCCCACAUGCCUUUCUGAAAUAUGCACCAUAUAUAUAUAUAUAUAUUAUAAUUCAGAUAUUGUAUCUGUUUUAGAUCCCAGCCAUCAUUUUCCACUGAAAUGUUAAGAUUGGAUCUUGGAAGUUGGGGGAAGUAACAGGGAGAUGUGUGAGGAAUUGACGUGGUAAAGUGUCUCAAUCAAGAAACAAAUUCUGGGACUAACGACUUACACUUUUGAGGUGUUUGAAAAAGUCCGACACAUGGAGUCAUUGAGAUGUACAGCCGUCCAUGCCGACCAGAUAUCCUAACCCAAUCUAGCCCCACCUGCCAGCACC